rnacentral:rRNA from 1 species
AAGAGGUCCAGCCUGCCCGUGACUUUGUUCAACGGCCGCGGUAUCCUAACCGUGCGAAGGUAGCGUAAUCACUUGUCCUUUAAAUAAGGACUGGUAUGAACGGCAUCACGAAGGUUACACUGUCUCCUUUUUCCAAUCAGUGAAUCUAAUCUCCCCGUGAAGAAGCGGGGAUAAGACUAUAAGACGAGAAGACCCUAUGGAGCUUUAAACUAAGUAACAAUUGCUUUUACAUCUCUUCAUUUCAGAAUACUAACAUUUAUUUUAGCUACAUGUUUACUAGUUUUAGGUUGGGGUGACCGCGGAGUAAAAAAUAACCUCCACAUUGAAUGGAAUUAAACUCCUGAGUUGUGGGCCACAACCCUAAGCACCAAUAAAUUGACAUCAAUUGACCCAAUAUUUUGAUCAACGAACCAAGUUACCCUAGGGAUAACAGCGCAAUCCGCUUAAAGAGCUCCUAUCGACAAGCGGGUUUACGACCUCGAUGUUGGAUCAGGGUAUCCCAGUGGUGCAGCCGCUACUAAAGGUUCGUUUGUUCAACGAUUAAAACCCU